AACGAACGCUGGCGGCGUGCCUAACACAUGCAAGUCGUGCGAGAAAGUUCCUUCGGGAGCGAGUAAAGCGGCGCACGGGUGAGUAACACGUAGGUAACCUGCCCCCCAGUCUGGAACAACUAGAGGAAACUCUAGCUAAUGCCGGAUGAGACCACGAUCCCUUCGGGGUUGCGGCCAAAGAUGGCCUCUACUUGUAAGCUAUCGCUGAGGGAUGGGCCUGCGGGCCAUUAGCUUGUUGGUGAGGUAACGGCUCACCAAGGCUGUGAUGGCUAGCUGGUCUGAGAGGAUGACCAGCCACACUGGGACUGAGACACGGCCCAGACUCCUACGGGAGGCAGCAGUGGGGAAUAUUGCGCAAUGGGCGAAAGCCUGACGCAGCGACGCCGCGUGGGUGAUGGAAAGGGCCCUUCGGGUCGGUAAAGACCCGUGUCGCAGGGAAGAAGUAAAGCAUCGGUAUAAUACGCCGGUGCCC
rnacentral:rRNA from 1 species